rnacentral:rRNA from 1 species
CCUACGGGCGGCAGCAGUGAGGAAUAUUGGUCAAUGGACGAGAGUCUGAACCAGCCAAGUAGCGUGAAGGAUGACUGCCCUAUGGGUUGUAACCUUCUUUUAUAAAGGAAUAAAACGAGGCACGUGUGCCUUUUUGCAUGUACUUUAUGAAUAAGGAUCGGCUAACUCCGUGCCAGCAGCUGCGGUAAUACGGAGGAUCAGAGCGUUAUCCGGAUUUGUUGGGUUUAACGGGAGCGUAGAUGGGUUGUUAAGUCAGUUGGGAAUGUUUGCGGAUCAACAGUAAAAUUGCAAUUGAAACUGGCAGUCAGUAGUACAGUUGAGGUAGGCGGACUUCGUGGUGUAGCGGUGAAAU